UAAAAUUAUUAAAAAGGAGAUAUAUAUUACAAUACAUAUUACGAUUAAAAUUACGUUAUAUAUCGUCAAAAUGUUAUUAAGAUCAAAAAAACCAAUGCACAAAUGCAUUAUCUUGCCUAUGCACAACUUUUGUCAUCUUAUCCUCAGUUGCCGUAUUUACUUGUUUAUGAAGUAUAAAAUAUUACAAUAUAAAAGUUAAAAAAUAUAAAUAUUUUAUUGUAUACGUUUUUAGCUAUACAAUAUUGUGAUUUUAUAGAGAGAAUAAAAAUAUUUAUUAUAAUUAUUUUAUUCCUUAUAAACAAACACUAAAAAGUUACGAAUAGGUGUUUCUAAAACACAUUUCUUAUUAUAUUAUCUCAUGGACAGAUUGAAAUCAAACUAUCACAGGUUAUUCGUUACCAUUUAAAAUUUCUAAUAAAUUAAGCAUCAAAAUAUUUCUGAAAAAUAUUCCAAUUCGCAUAAAAUUGGUGAGAAAAAGUUUUUAGAUUUUUGUAGGAGCGAAUGUCACAGAUCCAUCAUGGUGGACGCACAUCACAGCUGCAUCUUGUCUUCCUGAGAGAAACCUGAAAGAGCGACCAUCCACGCCUUUUUUGUGUGAUCUUUUUGUUAUAUUUUUUGUUAUUAAAUAAUGCAUUUUUACAAAUACAUAUACAUAUAUUAUACAUUCUUACAAAUACAUAUACAAUGGACGAUUAACUUUGCAUUAAAGUAAUUGCAAAUUUUUGCUUCUUUUUCUUUAUAGGUAAAUGUCGAUUUAAAAGCAGACAGAAGACAGGAUGCAAACUUGAUAAAGCGUGUAUAAGCAUAUGUCAUCGCCUAUUGGAACUAAUUGUGAGAGUAAUAUCACUAUUAGUUGCCUUUGUCAAAUAACCAGCAGAAUCUCAACCAACCAUCAGAGAUUUAACUCUCCCAGCGCAACCACUUUAGCGUUAAGAAUUUGAAAUAGACAAUUCACAAUUAAAUUUGGAAGACGUAGUAUCUUCGUAUAUAGAAAGAAUAAGAGAGAUCCAGUCAAUACUUAACUAUGUAGUUGCGGAACGUUUUGAUGAAGCAGAAAGCGAGAAAAUGCGACGAACUAUUAAAAUUUCAAAACGUUUUUUCCGUGGAGCUUUUAGCCAAGAAGAAACCAUUGUUUCGCAACUUUUUACUACUAAGGACUGUGACGCAGUCAAAAGCGUUUAGCUGACGGCUGGUCUAGUUGUGCGUAAGAACACUAUCAUUGACUCUUGUUACAUGGAACUAUUAAUCGGCUUUAGUAACAUACGUAGUUAUGAAAUUGGUUAAUCAUUAGUAUUCUUCUGAAGAAUGGAAUAACUGUAAUUGGUCAGUUUCCUAACUACGGAUGUUAUUAAACCCGAUUAAAAGUGCUGUGCAUCAGGGGUUGAUUGACUGAAGGAAUUGAAUUGAUAAAGACGCAGAAGUUAUAAAAUUAAUAUGAUCAACUGGAGCCAUACCUCUGGCAUUCAAAAAUGUUUCUGAAGUGGCAAUGUGGUUGGAAAGCAGUAAUUGUCUAUUCAGUAUUACGAAGGAUCCUUAUAAGACAUAUAGUAAACGGUUCUUCUGGUGGUGAAGGUUGUAUACAAGCAGCAGCUGGAGCACCAUUUGGAAUUGGCUGAGAUAUUGGUGGCUCUAUUCGUAUGCUGGCAUUCUUCAACAGGAUUUUUGACCAUAAGCCAACUAAAGAUGAGGAAGAUUAAAGAUUUAGAUGACGCAUUAUUAAUAUGUUAUGAAACACUUGUUAUCACAUUUUUAUUAUAAGAAUUGUUUCGAAUGAUGGCCUAGGACUCCAGUGCACAUAGUCACGACGAAGAUCAAUUACUCGCUAUUAGACCAACGUGUAAAUAUGCGCAAGAUUGAUCGUUAAUUCUUAAAAUUAUUGCGGAUAAAAAUAUUUACUUAUCAAAGUUAAAUCAAAAGUGGACAUUUCACAAAUAAAGAGAAGUUAGUUUAAUAUUGAAAUAAAAAUAUUUAAUUAUAUAUUUUUUCUUGAAUUUAAUCUUACUUCAUGUAUGCAUCCUUUUGCAAGAAAAUAUCAGAGUUAAUAAUUUGUAAUACAAUAAUCAAGAAACAAUAUUUCUAUGUGACUUUAGAUUUAUUAUAUAGAAGACGACAGUGGUCAGUAUCUAAUUUCGCCAGUGGAUCUAGAAAUACAAGCCACUAUGAUAUAACUCGUUCAUGGCCUUCAAUUAUUCACUGAUUUGAUAACAAGCGUAAAACUAUUGUUGUUAAUACAUAUUUUAUCUAUUAAAAGAAAUAAAUUGUUACUAUAUUAUUUUAUCACACUUAUAUUUUCUUCACAUUCAUUGUUUUUUUUUCUCAGCACCACUGACAUGUUGAAUAACAUGAAUUGCUUUAAUAAUAUAAAUAUUUUCAUAAAAUAAGAUAAUUUUGUAAUUUAAUUAAAUGUUUUUAAUGAAUGAGGCCCGAUUGUGCGCAAAUUAACAAUCGGACACGGUCUCGAUCGGACACAGUUUCGAUCGGACACGGUCUUGAUCGAACACGCCGAACCCAAUUGCACACAACGUUUGCGCACGAUUCAUUUACAUUUUUAUAUUUGUUUUAACUUUGCAUAUUACUUUUUUUAAAAUAAAAAUAUAUAUUUUUGAUGCAGAAACACAUUAUUUAUCUAUCUAAAAUAAAAUUUAAGAUAAUCUAAAUAAAAAUUUUAUAUUGUGUUGAAAAAUAAUACUUUGUGCGCAGAUCUAUACAUAUAGUAGAUCUGUUUCUGCCAAUAUUCUU